UAUGGAUGAUUGUGCUAAGUGU
rnacentral:siRNA from 1 species